AAAGUGUGGGUAGCAAACAGGAUUAGAUACCCUGGUAGUCCACACCGUAAACGAUGAUUACUAGGUGUUGGAGGAUUGACCCCUUCAGUGCCGCAGUUAACACAAUAAGUAAUCCACCUGGGGAGUACGACCGCAAGGUUGAAACUCAAAGGAAUUGACGGGGGCCCGCACAAGCAGUGGAGUAUGUGGUUUAAUUCGACGCAACGCGAAGAACCUUACCAAGUCUUGACAUCCCUUGACAGGCAUAGAAAUAUGUUUUCUCUUCGGAGCAAGGAGACAGGUGGUGCAUGGUUGUCGUCAGCUCGUGUCGUGAGAUGUUGGGUUAAGUCCCGCAACGAGCGCAACCCUUAUGGUCAGUUACUACGCAAGAGGACUCUGGCCAGACUGCCGUUGACAAAACGGAGGAAGGUGGGGAUGACGUCAAAUCAUCAUGCCCUUUAUGACUUGGGCUACACACGUACUACAAUGGCGUUAAACAAAGAGAAGCAAGACCGCGAGGUGGAGCAAAACUCAGAAACAACGUCCCAGUUCGGACUGCAGGCUGCAACUCGCCUGCACGAAGUCGGAAUUGCUAGUAAUCGUGGAUCAGCAUGCCACGGUGAAUACGUUCCCGGGCCUUGUACACACCGCCCGUCACACCAUGAGAGCCGGGGGGACCCGAAGUCGGUAGUCUAACCGCAAGGAGGACGCCGCCGAAGGUAAAACUGGUGAUUGGGGUGAAGUCGUAACAAGGUAGCCGUAGGAGAACCUGCGGCUG
rnacentral:rRNA from 1 species